AUAAGUAUGAAAGAGAGGGACCAACAUUAAAAGCUGUUACUUUUUAGGAAGCACAUUAAAACUCUGAUGCAUUCUUUCUGUGUUCUAAAUAGAAUGUUGGCUGAUCCACUUGAUUUGACCUUCGCAAUGGUUACAAUGUAGUUUUGACUCAAAACGGUCCAAUAAUCCUAAUAGAGAGAAGGGGGAAAGAGUGAGCAUUCACAGCCGACAGGACGCCAUCUUUGUUCCUGUAAGGAAAAACUUGAAGCACAGGCGCCACUGUCUUAACUUCCUCCACUCGUGGCCGAAGACUGCCAGCAGCUUAUCUCAAGACUGAUCAGAAUAAGUCCUUUAUUAGACGAUUUGAGCACAUUAAGGACGUAUACAAGUUCAAUGCACAAGACUUGUGUGGCUCUGGAGUGCAGCAUUACUAGUUUGACCAUCUUCAUACAGAUAAAACACAACACUCCUAUUCUAAUGGAUCAGCACAUACAUCCUCAGCCUGAUCUUUCAUAUGGUGUCCAGACCCCUCAGAGAGUGCAGAGAGUUGGCAUCAAAGUGAUGACAUGGAGAUGAUUGAAGUGAAGUGAACUUUUGUUUAAUUUGUUGUAUCCAAAAUACCUUACUUAGUUUGUCAGACCAGUAGCAACAAAAUUAUUCUCUAUCUGCCCAAGUGCUAAAAUAGUUUAUCAGCUUUUCAUUGGUCAUUUGUUUUUAUUUAUUUUUAUUUUGUUUUUUACUUGUUUAUUAAUCUUACUUAUGGUUACAGUGUUACCUUAUAGUUAAUGUUAAAAGAUUUAAUGUUUAUUAUUUUUAUAUAAAUAUUAUAAUUACUAAUUAACUUUUAGCUUAUUAUUACAAACCUACGGAUUUAUUAAGUCAAUUCUCAUAACUAUUGCAUUAUAAAUUGUGUUAA